GGAAAUGAGCCAUAACCUAUUUAAACAGGAGGCUUCUUCUCACCAGCCCUUUCACUAGCUCUGCUCUCAGUGGAAGCAAAGGCUCAGAAAACCGUCUUCAUUAAACCAUGCAAAACGAUAUCAGCAGUCCAGUCAUCAAUACUGGCGAGCUCUGUUAUCAGAUGGCAUGUGCUGGACACCCGUAUGAGACAGAUGGAGGAGGAGGAUGAUGGCUGUGUACCCGUUCUGACAUGAAGUGUCAGAUGAUGGUGCUGAUGUAACGUGACAGGCUGCCAUGGCAGUAUAAUUACUGGAAAAAUGGACCCAAGAAAGGAGCUCCUGCAAGAGGACUGCGACCAGCUGCAUCAAGUCCUGUGCAAAAAAUUCUGAAGGUUCAAGUGUGUGGAGAUAAACCUGGAAUUGAUACUGCAGCAGAUCUUGUGGUCAGAACUUCACCUUUUAAAGCAAAUAAGUGAGACAAUGUAAAGCCCUGAUGGAGAUCUGGACAAGUGGAACAUCUUCUCUUCCCCUGAUGCCAAACCAAACUCCAACAUUUGCAUUCAGUUUGCCAUAUCUGAUCACUGGCAAUCAUUUUUUUUUUUUUUAAAUCUGUCUGCACAGUUGUACAGUUCCUUAUGCUACACAUGUAACAUAUUUUAAACAAACCUUUAAACUCCA